AUGGCAGCCGCCACUCCAAGCAAAAGCAACAAGGACGUCAUGGCCUUCGACUAUGCCAAAAUGCUCAUUCCGAUCUCGCCUUCUGCUAUCAGGGCUACGUUGGACUAUGACAUCAGUGCUAUCUGCAAGAUUUUGAUGGCUAAUGAUGGCCGUUCGGUCGCGGAACGAAUGGAUUACUUGUCGAAGAAUUUUGCUUCAUUCAAGAAGCCUGAAGCUCUGGUACCUGUGGACGACCUGGAGGAUGAGGACGAUGAGGAGUUGAUGGAUGAUGAAAAGACAUCUGCUAGUUAUGCUGAACUGCAAGUCCCUAGUGAAGGUGAACAAGAAUGCAAGAAGAUUAUCAGCAAGCUUUGA
rnacentral:rRNA from 1 species